CGAGCGCGCCUUCGGGUGAGCGGCGGACGGGUUAGUAACGCGUGGGAACGUGCCCUUCUCUACGGAAUAGCCUCUGGAAACGGAGAGUAAUACCGUAUACGCCCUUUGGGGGAAAGAUUUAUCGGAGAAGGAUCGGCCCGCGUUAGAUUAGGUAGUUGGUGGGGUAACGGCCUACCAAGCCUACGAUCUAUAGCUGGUUUUAGAGGAUGAUCAGCAACACUGGGACUGAGACACGGCCCAGACUCCUACGGGAGGCAGCAGUGGGGAAUCUUAGACAAUGGGGGCAACCCUGAUCUGGCCAUGCCGCGUGAGUGAUGAAGGCCUUAGGGUCGUAAAGCUCUUUCGCCUGUGAUGAUAAUGACAGUAGCAGGUAAAGAAACCCCGGCUAACUCCGUGCCAGCAGCCGCGGUAAUACGGAGGGGGUUAGCGUUGUUCGGAAUUACUGGGCGUAAAGCGCGCGUA
rnacentral:rRNA from 1 species